rfam:Ictidomys tridecemlineatus contig102981, whole genome shotgun sequence.
GGUGCUGUAGCUCAGUGGCAGAGCGCUUGCCUAGCAUGUGUGAAGCACUAGAUUCGAUUCUCAGCACCA